CCGUCCCCGUCGAUAAGGUAGCCACAAGAGGCUGCUUUCCUCAUAAAUGAGGAUAGUCGGGGAUGUUUUA
ncrna:unclassified sequences DTF3800-IX RNA